AUGGGACGAUUCUCCCUUUGAGCAGACCUCAUCCUGUGUUGUCUGCUUGCACGGGUGCUCUGUUAACAGGCCUCUACGGAGUGUGGAGUCUCUUUACCAUGCCCGGCUUCCGCAAAAUCCCAUCCAAUCUGAAGAUAAAGAAAAUAUGCUGAUCUGGAGGUGAUUGUUCUUAAGUGCCAUAUUUGCCCUCCAGUAAAGAGCAGACGCUAAACAUUAUGAAACUGCUUGAGGGCCGCACUGGUCGCUUAGCAGAUCUGGGAUCAGGAGAUGGGAGACUGGUGGGUAAGACCCUCUGCCUAAAUUAGUUGUAUGCAUUUUUGUGCGACAUAUCCAUACUGUCCUAUUUUCUGGUGGUAGCACAUCACCUUGGGCUUGUUUCGAAGCAGAAUUUGUCCGCAAUCAAUUGCAACCCAAAAUGAAAUGACAUAUAGCAUAUUGAUUGCAUUGGCUUGGCAGCAGAAGUCUACGCCUCCCAUCAAAGUUGAGAAAGCACAGGGGGUCACAGUAACAAUAAGCCAGACAGACACACUGUAAGGAAAUGACUCCAGAAUUAGCACAGUAAAGAUUAUUUGAGAAAAUGUCCGGCAUCAGCCUGUUGUCAUGCAUGCCAUCAUCCUUCAGAAGUGAGCAGUAAAAGAUUAAUUUUAUACAUAUUUCACUUUUUCAUUGGCUUCUCCGAACCCUCAUUAAGUUGGGUUGUUAAAAAAAAAAAAAAAAAAAAAAAAAAGAAUAAACAGUAACAUGUGUAAGGCAAACCGUUUUGUGUUUACAAUUUAAAGGCGUUAACUUCCUACUCACUUAAAAGCGUGGCACAGUUGCAACAAACACUUUUAGGCACCUUUGUCUUUCAUCAUUCAAGUUUGGUGUUUCAUUACUUUUACAUAUAGUCAGUGUCUAACAUCUUUUUACUCAUGACCUCAAUAUCAAAGACUGCUAUAAUACAGUUGAAAUAUUGCCUGUAAUAAUUAUAUAUAAAGAGCAGUGUCCCAGAGGCACACAUCCUACAUUCCCUUGUACGUUAUGUUCAUUCCAUAGGGGUUCAUGUGCACGUUCAAAAAUUGUGCUAUUUGUGUAUAGGAGGCUUGAAAUACUCUGAAGGUGUGAAUGUGAAACGGAAUGAUUGUUGACCUUUGCUGAUUGCGGUGCAGUCCAGGGAUAUAUAAAUUUAAACUAUUAUCAGACUUAUGGUAAUUUGAUUUUGUAAUGUUUCAGGUGUUUGCUGCCUCGUCUGCUGGCUUUAAGUGUACAGGGUUCGAGAUUAACUCCGUUCUUGUCACAUAUGCCAGGUCAAAGGCCAGCUGGAACGCAGUGCCUUCUAGCCAGGCUGUCUUUGUUAAGAAAGACUUUUGGAGGGUAAAUACAUGGAUGGGCAUGUUUGUUGUGUAAGGCUUUUUGUAUUAACAUUUUGUUUCAUUUUAUUAUAGAUUGAUUUAUCACAAUAUGACAAUGUGACGGCUUUUCUCGCUCCAGGAGCGGUGAGUUAAGUUUAUGGUCAUUGUGGAGCAGACGUGUGUAGUAACGCGUUACAUUUACUCCGUUACAUUUACAUGAGUAACUUUUUGAGAAAAAUGUACUUCCAAGAGUAGUUUUACUAAGCUAUACUUUUUCCUUUUACUUGAGUAGAUUUUUGAAGAAAAAAACGCUACUCUAAUGGCUGAGUUACGCUUCUGUGGCAGACCUACGCCGCCAAGACAGACCCGAUUUACGACCCUUCGCCGUCGCCUGACGUACUGUACAUCUCCUCAAUUUUCUGACUUUGCGUCACGUCAACGCCUGGAGACAUGGCGCAAGUGGACUGUGGUUGGUCCGCUCAGACUGUUGUUUCCGGUUCAGCGCGAAAUCGCCGCCAUUUUCAAACGUUGUUGUGCUACACGAAAAAGUGGACCAAGCCGACAAGAGUAUCAUCACAGAGGUCCGCAAGAACGACAACCUCUACAAUGUCUCGUGAAGACAUUAUAAAGAUUGCCAAAUGGCAAACAAUUCGUGAAGAUCCACAUUCAAGCGUUCCCUCUGGCAUUGUUUAUUUUUUUUUCUCUUGACAUUGAUUAACCGGAAAAAAACUAGAGGAAGUCGACAAGCGUCCCCCAAAACCGUACAAAUACAAUGCCACACCCCUCUAGUGGCUUGGCGGUGAAUUACAGAGCAACGCGUUCCCUUGCCGCAGAACUAUCGAAGAAGCAUAACUCAGGCUUUACUCUGCUACUUCGGGCUACACAAGAGUCGUUACAUUUUUCCUCUUUAUUCUACAUAUUAGAUUUAUUUUAUUAUUAUUAUUAUUUUUUUUUUUUUUGCUAGUGAUGCUAUUGCCAAGAGUAACGCUACUAAUUUCAACAAUGACACGUUGCAACAAUAAUCACAUGACUCCAUUACACCAAUCAGAUGCAAGCUUGCCGUUCUAUGAUCACGCAAGACUGAUCCGGCGAUACAGUGUAUCACAAACGAGUGCUGUCAGCAUUGCUGAAGAGAUUGAAGAGGUGGAGGGUCAGCCUGUUAGUGCUCAGACCAUAAGCCGUACUCUACGUCAAACUGGUCUUCUGAAGAUUGUUCACAAGAAAGCCCACAAACAGUUUGCUGAAGACAUGCCAACAAAGCACAUGGAUUACUGACACCAUGUCCUAUGGUCUGCUGAGACAAAGAUUAAUUUGUUUGGUUCCGAUGGUCUCAGGCAUGUGUGGCGGCGACCAGGUGAGGAGUACAAGGAUAAGUAUGUCAUGCCUACAGUCAAGCAUGGGGGUGGGAAUGACCCCCCCCCCCACAUCUUCAAUCUCUGCAGCAAUGCUGACAGCACUCCUGUAACAAGUCACAUGACAUUUUGGAGGGAGACUGACAAUCACUUUUGUUGCCAGAGGUUUAGAUAUUAAUGGCUAUUUGAGUUAUUGUGAGGGGAAAAUAAAUUAACUCUAUUUCAUAAGCUGCACACAGACUACUUUUCAUUGUGUCAAAGUGUCAUUUUGUCAGUGCUGUCCAAUGAAAAGAUAUACUUAAAUAUCUGCAGAUAUGCGAGGGGUGUACUCACUUUUGUGAUACACUGUAUGAUCCUUUUAAUUUCAUAAUAGUGACUAUGAAGGAAAUACAGUAUUCACUACUCAAACUAAGAACUUUUUUCUCCACUAGAGGGCAGGGCACUCAUGCUCUUUGGGCAAAUAAUGCUUCAUUAGGCAAGGCAAGGCAAGGCAAAUUUAUUUAUAUACCACAAUUCAACACAAGGCAAUUCAAAGUGCUUUACAUCACAUGAAAACCAUAAAAAUCACAUUUAAAUCAACACAACGUAAAAACCAAGACAAAAGAUCGCAUUUAAUCACAGAAUAAAAAUAAAUAAAUGAAAAUAAAACAAAAAUAGAAAUAAAGCCAAAACUACUACUAAUAAUAAUCAUUGAAAUCAGCAAUGGAGAUAUGCACAAGAGGAAUAGAAGGCAGGUAGAUUGAAAUAUAUAGACAGUUAUGGAUAUGCAGUGCUAAACAAAAGCGUUUUUAGCCCUGAUUUAAAGGAGCUAACGGUUUGAGCAUACUUCAGACGUUCGGGUAACUUGUUCCAGAGGUGAGGAGCAUAAUAACUAAAUGCUGCCUCACCCUGCUUGGUUCUGGUUCUUGGAACAUGCAGAAGACCCGUUCCAGACGACCUUAGGGGUCUAGAUGUCUCAUAGGAAUCUAACAAGUCAAGCAUGUAUUUUGGUCCAAGGCCAUUAAGUGUUUUGUAGACGAGCAGUAGUAUUUUAUAGUCUAUCCUUUGACUCACUGGAAGCCAGUGUAGCGAUUUCAAAACCGGUGUAAUGUGGUCCAGCUUCCUUGUAUUUGUGAGGACUCUGGCUGCAGCAUUCUGUACUAGCUGCAGCUUCCUGACUGAUUUUUUAUCAAGACCUGUAAAUAUACCGUUGCAGUAGUCCAAUCUGCUGAAAACGAAUGCAUGCAUAAGUUUUUCCAUGUCUUGUUGAGUCAGAAGCCCCUUAAUUCUGGUUAUAUUUUUUAGGUGGUAAUAAGCGGAUUUAGUGACGGACUUUAGAUGGCUAUCAAAUUUUAGGUCUGAGUCAAUAAUUACGCCAAGGUUUCUGACUUGAUUUGUAGCUGUAAGUGACAUUGUGCUAAGUUGGCUGCUUAUCUUUGACCUUUCCUUUUUUGGCCCAAAAAUGAUCACCUCUGUUUUCUCCACAUUUAACUGGAGAAAAUUCUGGCACAUCCAUUCAUUGAUUUGAUGAAUGCAUUUACUCAGGGAGACUAAGGGACUAUAAUCAUGUGGGGACACAGAAAUGUACAGUUGUGUGUCAUCUGCAUAGGCGUGAUAGGAGAUGUCAUACUGUUCCAUUAUCUGAGCUAACGGAAGCAUAUAGAUGUUAAAUAAGAGUGGUCCAAGAAUUGACCCUUGAGGGACUCCACACGUGAAUUUGGUUCGUUCUGACUGAUAAUUUCCGAUUGACACAAAGAAAUCCCUAUCAUGUAAAUAGGAUGUGAACCACUGAAGAAUAGUGUCAGUAAGCCCUACCCACUGUUCCAAUCUGCUGAGUAGUAUGUUGUGAUCAACCGUGUCAAAUGCGGCGCUGAGAUCCAAUAGUAGCAGAACAGAUGAUUUGCCUGCAUCGGUAUUCUGACGAAUAUCAUUUAGGACUUUGAUAAGCACGGUCUCGGUGCUGUGUUGUGGCCGAAAUCCAGACUGAAAUGAGUCAAAAAGAUUGUUUUGGAUCAUAAAAGUCUGGAUCUGUUCAAACACAACCCUUUCGAUAAUUUUCCCCAGGAAUGUCAGAUUUGAUAUUGGCCUGUAAUUACUAAUGGUUGAGGCAUCCAGAUUAGGUUUUUUUUAGGAGAGGUUUUAUUACUGAAGUUUUUAAAGUCUGAGGAAACUCUCCUGUUUGGAGGGAAGUAUUUAUAAUCUGAAGUAUGUCUGGGGCUAUGCAAUGAAAAACAGUUUUGAAAAAGUUUGAAGGAAGGAUGUCAAGGCAGCAUGUUGUGGGCUUUAGUUUCGACACAAUUUCUGUUAAAGUGGCAUAGUCCAAGAGGCUAAACUGUCUAAGAUUGACGUGGGGGACAUGUUGGGAGGCAUUUAGUGUAACAUUUGUUAAUCCGGAGUUGCACACAGUCUGUCUAAUCAUUAGUACUUUGUGUGUAAAAAAUGCUGCGAAAUUAUUACAGGACACCUCAGAUGCCAAUUCCUGAGGUAUUGAUGCUUGUGGGUUUGUCAGUUUGUCAACAACAGAAAAUAGUGUGCGAGUAUUGUUGGUGUUUCUACUAAUGAUCUCUGAAAAAUAUGAUUGUCUAGCAUUUUUCAGUUCCUGGUUGUAUUUGCGAAGACUCUCUUUGUAGAUAUCAUAAAAAACUAGGAGUUUGUUUUUUCGCCAUCUGCGUUCUGCUCGUCUACAAACUUGCUUUUGUUUUAUAGCUAGUAUGGCAUUUCUCCAGGGUGACCUCUUCUUUCUUGACAAAGUUUUUGUCUUAAUCGGGGCAAUAGUGUCCAUUACAGUCAUCACACUGGAACUGAAACUAUUUACAAGUUCUUCCACUGGAGCUAUUGUAGGGGUUAAUAAUGAGGCAUAGGCCUGUGUGAAUAACGCACAUGUGUUAUCACUUAAGUAACGCUUCCUAAUAAACUCUGUUUCCCUUUUCAGAGGAUGGACAGGGGUGGUCAUUUUAAACAUAAUGCUGUAGUGAUCAGACAGAGCAACAUCAUUCACUGUGACCUCAGAGAUGUUAAGACCUUUGGAUAUUAUUAAGUCCAGUAUGUGCCCUCUGUUAUGUGUUGGAACUGUGACAUGCUGAGAUAAACCAAAUGUAUCCAAAAUAUUUAAAAGCUCUCUAGCACAUCUUUCUUCAGGAUUAUCAACAUGAAUGUUAAAGUCACCCACUAAAACAACACAAUCAAAGUCCAUGCACACAGAAGACAGUAUUUUGGUAAACUCAUCAAAAAACAUUGUGUUAUACUUCGGUGGUCUGUAAAUUGUUACCAAGGCAGCUCUGCAAGGGCUUUUUAGCUGAAUGACAAUAUACUCAAAGGAAUCAAACUGACCACAUGAAAUAUUCGUGCAUUGAAAACUGUCCCUGAUCAGACUGGCAACCCCACCUCCUUUCUUAUGGGUUCUUGGCGCACUAAAGAAAUUGAAGUUUGCGGGGGUUGCCUCGAUCAGAACUGUCGAACUCUUAUCUUGAUCUAACCAAGUUUCUGUUAGGAACAACAUGUCAAGGUUAUGUUUGCAGAUAAAAUCAUUAAUUAAGAAAGAUUUGCCAGCUAAAGAUCUAAUAUUUAGCAGAGCCAAUUGGAGAUGCCAGACUGGAUUCACUGGUGAGCUUUGGGAAUGACAUACUAUGGUUAACAGGUUGGCAGAAUUUAUUGAACGUUUUUUAUUUCUCACCAGUCUAGCCCUUUUUUUGUUGUUUAUCACCACUGGGAUUGUUGAGCAUACAUACUGUACUCCAUAAGGCCCCGGCUUUUGCUGGGACAGAAAAGUCUUUGUAAUGUUGUCACAGCCUGGACCCGGUGCACAUCAUAUUGGUGUCGCAAACAUGGCUUCCUCCAUAGAAGGAUAAUACCGUGUAGUUCCAGAGUUGUAGUGCUUUGGCUUUGCCCCGAGAGAAUUCCAGUGGAGGCUGGUUGGUUUGUUGCCAUCUUCCCCUGGCACCUGUCGGGUGUGGCAGGUACAGGGUGGAAGCGAAGACAUGAACUUGAGGAGAUCAAGAGACUGGUUAACCUUGCUAUCUAGACCCAUGGAGUCCCAAUCAGGUUGACUCAUUAUUCCAUCCAAACUAAGUCGUCGGCGGGGUGGCUUCCGGGACUGUGGGGAUUUAGGCCUUGAUGAGGCCUUAGCCUGACUGAGUCGGCGGAGUGGUGGCGUCUUGGAGUGUGAGGAUUUGGUGCUGGAUGGGGCCUUAUCCUGGAGUCGGCGGCGUGGUGGCGUCUUGGAGUGUGAGGAUUUGGGGCUGGAUGGGGCCUUAGCCUGGAGUCGGCGGCAUGGUGGCGUCUUGGAGUGCGAGGAUUUGGUGCUGGAUGGGGCCUCGACAUUACCGUUUUUUUUUUUUUCUCUCUCUCUUUAAUUAUUAUUUAUUUUUUGUAUUUCUUUGGCUUAAUUUGGUCAUGUAAUGGGUUAUUGUACAGUAUCAUUAGAUGUGUUUGAGCAGAGAGAAAAAAAUACCAUUGUUUAGCAAAAACACACAAAAACAAGCAGUUACUCAAAAUGUUACUCAUUACUUGAGUAUUCUUUUCACUGGAUACUUUUUUAACUUGUACUUGAGUACAUUUUUUGGAUGACCACUUUUUAAGUAGUAUUAUUUUUAAGUAACGCUACUCUUACUUGAGUAAAAAUUUUGGCUACUCUACCCACCUCUGUUGUGGAGUAGCAGUGUGGCUGAUAUGACAUCAGGCUCAUAUGAUGGGUUGACAGAUGGAUGCACUUGGAGAGAAGCUGCUGAAAGAGCUCCCUGACAAUGCGCGUGUCAUAGCUUGCCGCUAUCCUUUCCCCUGCUGGCCUCACCAGUCGAGGCUUGGUUCAGGACUCAACCAGACGUGGGCUUACGACGUCGGUGCC